CCAGAACCAGCCUGCCGGGUCGGGACUAU
rnacentral:sRNA from 1 species